AUCACACACAGCACUCUCACACCCAUCACACACAGCACUCACACCCAUCACACACAGCACUCUCACACCCAUCACACACAGCACUCACACCCAUCACACACAGCACUCUCACACCCAUCACACACAGCACUCUCACACAUCAUACACAGCACUCUCACACACAUCAUACACACACUCUCACACACAGCACUCUCACACACAUCAUACACAGCAC